rnacentral:rRNA from 1 species
UACGUAGGUGGCUAGCGUUGUCCGGAUUUACUGGGCGUAAAGAGCGCGCAGGCGGUCGUUCAAGUCGAGUGUGAAAGCCCCCGGCUCAACUGGGGAGGGUCACUCGAUACUGAUCGACUUGAAGGCAGGAGAGGGAAGCGGAAUUCCCGGUGUAGUGGUGAAAUGCGUAGAUAUCGGGAGGAACACCAGUGGCGAAGGCGGCUUCCUGGCCUGUUCUUGACGCUGAGGCGCGAAAGCUAGGGGAGCAAACGGG